UCACAAUCUUUUCGCGAAACACGUAGCAUAUGACAAAAUGUAACGCGUUAUGCAGCUGAUACGAUAAAACUGUAUUUUUGACGUAUCGACAAUUUUUGAUCGACGGAAGGUGCUUAUCAUAAAAAAUAACAGUGAUUUCCAGUAAAAAGAGUAGUCGAUCGUGGAAAUGCAUGGAGGAAUAGAGGAAUUGUCGAUUUUUCCAGUUUUCCAAAUUUUAUUACGUCGUCUAUUUAAAAACUUAUUUUUCAUGAUAAGCACCUUCCUUCGUUCAAAAACUGAAAAGUAUUUGCGAUUUCUGGAAAAAAAGACAUGAAUCAUGAAAAUACGUGGAGAAGUAGCGAAAUUAUUGAUUUUUUCAAUCUUUUAAUAUUUUACGGCGUCAUCUUUAGAAAAAUUUAUUUUCCACGAUAAGCACUUUUUCUUGUUCAAAAAUUGAAAAGUUUUUGCGAUUUCCAGCACAAAGAAAGGUCGAUUACAAAAAUUCAUGCAAUAAUAACCGAAUUAUCGAUUUUUUCGAUUUUAUACAGUUUUAUUGCGUCUACUGCAUAACGCGUUUUCUUUCGUCAUAUACACCGUAUGUUGCCAAAAAAUUGAUAAGUACGAAAGAUUGCCAAUAAAAAGAAAUGUCAUUAUCGUACUAUAUUGUCAGACUAUUCGUAAUUAAUCAUGUCCUCGUUAAUAAAGUACCUUAUAAAUGCUUUCUAUUCUGGAUUAGGAAUUUCAAAAGUUGUCAAAAGAUAAAAGUAUUGUAUUUAUGUAUAAUGUUUUCAGAACUGGAAAUUGACAUAUUUGUUCUUGGAUUUUCAAUCAGCAAAUAUGUAUCUGUUUUUUAAUAUAAAAUUAUUAUUAUUAUUUCAUUUAGUUAUGUAAUAUAUGAAGUGCUUGGUUGAAGAAGGUGGACGUCCUGAAAUCUGCCAUUGCAUAUAAACAAAUAGUCACUGAUUUGUAUAAAUGCUUCUGCAUAAAAAAUAUAGCAUAUAUAUGACAUAUAUCUAUAUAUAUAACUCUAAAAUAGUGUCAAGCAUAUGAUAAAGUGCAUAUAACGGUAUCAAUCGGGAGACAUACUCUACAAGAUGCAAAAGGUUUCGUUCCGAUCGGUCCAUCCAUUUCGGAGUAAUCGAUAUUGAGUAUGCAAUAAAAUACCAGGACGAAUAACAGAAAUAUGUUCUCAAAACAGAAAUGCAAUUGCGUUCUUGCAAGAUAUAUCUGGAAAUAUGAUUAAGUGCUUGAUCAGACAUAGAAGGAGAAAUGGCAACAAAGAUAUUAUGGAGUAAAAGUAUUAAAUAGAUACACUGAAGAAAUUAUCCAAGCAAGACGGGUAUUAUAUUAGAUAAGUUUACUUAAAAACAAUGUAACGCCAACAUAU